rnacentral:rRNA from 1 species
AACGAACGCUGGCGGCGUGGAUUAGGCAUGCAAGUCGAACGCGAAAGAGGGGGCAACCCCUCUAGUAGAGUGGCGAACGGGUGAGUAACGCGUGAAGAACCUGCCUUCAACAGGGGGAUAACACUCCCAACGGGGUGCUAAUACCGCAUGAGACCACGGGAUCGCAUGGUCCCUGAGGUCAAAGGUGGCCUCUGCUUGCAAGCUACCGGUUGAAGAUGGCUUCGCGUCCCAUAGCUAGUUGGCGGUGUAACGGACCACCAAGGCGACGAUGGGUAGCUGGUCUGAGAGGAUGGUCAGCCACACUGGGACUGAGAUACGGCCCAGACUCCUACGGGAGGCAGCAGUGGGGAAUCUUGCGCAAUGGGCGAAAGCCUGACGCAGCGACGCCGCGUGAGGGAUGACGGCCUCGGUUG